GCGAGCCCCAGCUCGGAAUCCCCGGGCGCCGCCAAUCCGCGAAGAGCUCGCUCCGUCGGUAGCGGUCGUGCCGUCGCCUCGCAGGAUUCCCCGCGACCGGUGAACGAUGUCUGAACUCGGGAUUCCACAUUGAUUGGGUCUUCAUAUGUGGGUUCGGAUCUGAACGUUCCGGGGGAUCUUGCAUGUUCGGGCAUUUGACCAUCUCUCUCAAAGUUUCGAUUUUUAGUUUGCCUGUGGGAUUGAAUCGUUUGGUUUACUGGUGGGGUUGUGUCUUUUAGUUGAUAACUCCUAGCUAAGUGUCGAACGUAGGUGGUCUCUGUCCGAUUCCUGCGAUGGGUUCUCUCAUUCUACUUCUUGGGAUCUCGCUAGUUGUAGUUAACGAGCGAGCCUUGUGUGGUCUUUCUGAUGCUGAUGGUGGUGAAUUCUUGUGAUGUCGCUAGUUGAAGAAGAAACGCACAUAUCGAAGGCUUCCCAGGCUAUUUGAUUGAAGCCUGAGGAGCUCAUAUCUGUGCAAUACGAAAUCAUCCAUCUUUGUAUGCAGUCAAUCCUCUUGAUGUCUUAUUCCUUGCAUUCAGAGGAUUUCAAAGAGGUUGAUGGACAUUUGCUUGUAUAUAUCGAUGCGUCUUCUGUCUUCAUGGGGACAAUGUCUUGUUCCAUUUGUUUCCUCCUUUUGGUAACAUAAUAUACCCUGCCAAAUCUGUGAAUGACAAUGCUGAAGUAGGAGAUACUUGGAGUUCCGCGUAGGAGCUUUUAUUUGGUCACUAGAAAUGGGAGGUUUGGCGUGCUCAUUUAAAUUUGUGCAGCAUUGGACUCCUUUCUGAAUGGCUGGCUGACUGGCUUGGUCAGAGAAAAUAUCAAAAACACGUUUACCUGCUCUCCCAAUAUAUGUCCUCGACACUCAUAGUGACCACCUUGCAUUUUCCUUAAUCAUCAGAUGGAUGGGAAAUAUGCUCGUGCUUUGAUAGGUACAUGCCAUCGUCUUUCAUUUACAUGAAAUGCACUCAUUUAUCUCUGCGUGAGCAGCUGCCUAGCGUAUAUGAAUUAAGAUUUUGAAAAUGUCAUGAUUUUUGUUUAGCCCGAGAUGCCUUCUGUUGUCGCCUCUUCUCAUCCUGUGGAUUUGGUUUACUACUAAAGCUUUUUUGCAAGUAGCAGUUGCUAGUUUUCUUCCUUCAGGGUCAGUUUUGCAAUCUUCAUAGUCAACAAUCAAGGUCAGAGGUUGAAAAUUAGUCUACUUUAAACUUCAUCGGGGCCAUGUGAGCACUGAGAAGGAGAUCUAUGAGGGCAUUGUGUGGUUAAGGUCGUGAAAACUUUGAUGUCCCUCGCUAAAGUUUAUGAUCAUGUGAGUUCUAAUUUUGCAUUUAGGCUUCCUAAGCGCUGGACAUUCACAAUCUUUUUUCCCCUCGCAGCGUUGGUUAAAUACUGUGCAUUGUGUACAAGUAAGAAGUGUCUGAUUCCUCUUUGAGCAAGCUGGCUAGAUGAUGAUUGGGAUAUAUUGCGCAUGGGCUUUGAAUUCCACUUUGAUGGGAUAUUGAAAUAAUCUUGCUAUCCCGUCUGAUAGCAAAAUUUCAAUCUUUAUACAUCUCUUAGCACUGAAUUCCUGCAAUAAUUUCACAAUGAUGGCAUUGUCUCCGUGGAUGAAUUGUUUUCCGAGAUGAUGCAACUGUGAAUUUAUGACAUCAUUUUUGGCUGGAGGUGUCCUCUCACUACUGAUGUUUUCUUAGUUCUCUUGUAAUUUGUUGGAUCAGAAGAAAAACGGAAAGCCUCUCUUUUUCCGCCUUUCAGCAUAUUGAGUUUGCCUGUGCAGCAUGCCUCUCACCAUAGUACGUCACUCCGAGUUCAAGAGACGUUCAGGUUUCUCCGCCAUGACCAUGAGCAUGUCUUCUUUCUCCGCCUGAAGACGGCAACCGCAAGUAACUCUCCUGGGUGCUCAGGGAUUUGGCAUGAGGACACAGCAAACCCUUGACAGUGCUCGCUUUCAGGAAGUGCGACAACUGAAGUUGGUAGUGAGAGAACGAGUUACAACAUCGUUGGUCAUGUCUUCCUAUGCUUGGUCACUCUCUUUGAACCGUUUGUUGAAAUCUACCCUUAACUUCUCUCAAUUUUAUACUCUCUUUUUUAAGCUUUACUGCGGUUGGAUGUGUCAUAACGUAGAGGUCAAUAAAAUACUCGUUUAUAGAUAA